rnacentral:rRNA from 1 species
AUUGAACGCUGGCGGCAGGCCUAACACAUGCAAGUCGAACGGUAGCACAGAGAGCUUGCUCUCGGGUGACGAGUGGCGGACGGGUGAGUAACGUCUGGGAAACUGCCCGAUGGAGGGGGAUAACUACUGGAAACGGUAGCUAAUACCGCAUAACGUCGCAAGACCAAAGUGGGGGACCUUCGGGCCUCACACCAUCGGAUGUGCCCAGAUGGGAUUAGCUAGUAGGUGGGGUAAUGGCUCACCUAGGCGACGAUCCCUAGCUGGUCUGAGAGGAUGACCAGCAACACGGGAACUGAGACACGGGCCAGACUCCUACGGGAGGCAGCAGUGGGGAAUAUUGCUCAAUGGGCGCAAGCCUGAUGCAGCCAUGCCGCGUGUAUGAAGAAGGCCUUCGGGUUGUAAAGUACUUUCAGCGGGGAGGAAGGCGGUGAAGUUAACAGCUUCACCGAUUGACGUUACCCGCAGAAGAAGCACCGGCUAACUCCGUGCCAGCCGCCGCCGUAA